UGGGGAAUAUUGGACAAUGGGGGCAACCCUGAUCCAGCAAUGCCGCGUGUGUGAAGAAGGUCUUCGGAUUGUAAAGCACUUUCGACGGGGACGAUGAUGACGGUACCCGUAGAAGAAGCCCCGGCUAACUUCGUGCCAGCAGCCGCGGUAAUACGAAGGGGGCUAGCGUUGCUCGGAAUGACUGGGCGUAAAGGGCGUGUAGGCGGUUUACACAGUCAGAUGUGAAAUCCCCGGGCUUAACCUGGGAGCUGCAUUUGAUACGUGUAGACUAGAGUGUGAGAGAGGGUUGUGGAAUUCCCAGUGUAGAGGUGAAAUUCGUAGAUAUUGGGAAGAACACCGGUGGCGAAGGCGGCAACCUGGCUCAUGACUGACGCUGAGGCGCGAAAGCGUGGGGAGCAAACAGGUUAGAUACCCUGGUAGUC
rnacentral:rRNA from 1 species